AAGUCGUAACAAGGUUUCUGUAGGUGAACCUGCAGAAGGAUCAUUAAUGAGAACAGGGGGCUGGAUCUGUAUCCGCCCCCGACCCUUCGAUCCACACACACCUGUGCACACACAACCAUACCCGCCUCGGCGUGGUAGUCACUUAUUAACACGGUUAUCGAGUGUAAAUACAAAUCCUCCAAAGCGGGGUGAAAGUUAAAUACAACUUUCGGCAAUGGAUCUCUUGGUUCU
rnacentral:misc_RNA from 1 species